CCCACUCAGAGGGGAAGAGUCCUCACCUGGCCCAGCAGUGCUGCUGAGCCUCUGGCUAUGCCCCAGGCUGGAGCUUGACCCCGCCCCCGGACUCUGCCUGCGCAAAGGUGCGCUUCCCAGGGUUUCAGCUUGGGGGCGCAGGUGAGGGGUUUCGGUGACCGUCAGACCCCACUGGGUUAGGGGCCCCCCUACCCCAAUUGGGAAACUGGAUCCCCUUCAACCAUGGGGAAACUGGGCCCCCUUCCCUCUUGGGGGAUUGGUAAAGCUUUCCCCCGGAGAACACCUGCACCCUCCUCUUGCACUCACACCCCCAGGGGCACGCAAUGAGACCGAAGGCGCUCUAGACGGAGGGGCGGGGUCACUGAUGUUUACCCUAUAAGGGAACCAUUUUGGAAAGAAUGUCCUUUCAAAAUCCUGCCAAAUAUUGGUGAGAAAGGCUCACACUUCAUUUCCUUUUGCACCUUCCUGAGGUUAUACCAGGGCCACCUACUUUGUGUUUUUGACCACAAACAAAUUAAUUUGCUAAUAUUUCUCAAUAGAGCCAACGUGUAUUUAGGUCCUGUGUUAGUAGUGUUUUGGGGUUUGAAGGAAUCCUUGAGGGUCUCAUCCUUGAGGGUCUUGAGUCUAAUGGGGGAGAUUUAUGUAGCUGCAGAUAAUAUCUCAGAUUGUCCCUCAUCUACAACUGGAUAACCAGUCUUAUCCAUUAAAAAAAUCCAUAAUUAAAGAGGAAAGUAAUUAUUUUUUAUUUUAGAAAAUACAGCCAGAUUAAAAAAUCUAUAAAUAAAAAUAUAAAAAUCAUUCUUUCUUAAUGUAGUGAUAAUCACUGUUCUCUCAGGUUUUUUGUUGUUGUUGUUGUUCCGUCUGCAGAUCCAUUUUGUUCAGAAAAGAAAAUAUAAGCAAUUAUCCUCAGUAUGGUAUCUCUUCCGUUUCAGUUUUAAGUGCCUUGUUGGUUGACAUGUGUUUCCUACAACUUGUAUAGUAUCACCUACACUCUGUUUGGGGAAAAAAAAAUCUAUCACAUUUGACCUUUCUUGCCUAUUGAUUUUUUUCUUGUAGGGUCACUUUUAGCCAGUAAGGUCUGUCAUUGAAACCCUCCCCUCUGUUAGAUGUUCCACCAUGAUAUCGGGUAAAUCGUGUCUCAAUUUUGUGGUCUUCAGCUGUUGUGUAGAGGACUCUCUUUUCCUUCUUGAGGACCAGUGUACUCUCUCAGUUUCACACAUACAGAACUUUAGUUCCUUUCAGCCAACCUCAGAAACCUUGUACUUCAAUUAAGGUGAACUCACCUGACUAUCAGAGUAUAGAAGACAUGUUUUCUCACAAAAGCUUGCUUAUUUAUUUAUUUAUUUUAAAGAUUUAUUUAUUUAUGCAUACAAGAGCUGGGGUACAGGCCGGCGAUGCAGGGGGUGAGUGGAUUCACCAGAGACAGAGUGGGGAGCAGAACAGGCAGACUGACUGAAAUACACUGCUGAGGGGAGCAGCGGGCAAGUCAGGAGAGGCCUGCUGUGCCCUGUGGGUUUCUCCCUGGCCGGCCGGGGAGCGAACUCGUGCUGCAGAGGCUGUGGACCACUUCAUAGUGCUGUGCUUAAUCCCUUGUGCCACCAGGAAGGCCCCAAAGGCUUAUUUAGAAGUGACUUUAUUCUGAAACUUGAUGUAAAGAUAGGCCAAAGAGUACUGAAUGAGACUAGGAGGAGAAUCAUUUCUCUCACAGCUGGCUUGAUAACCUUCAGCUGUAGAUGGAAGCCUGAGUCUGACCUUGACCAAAAAUGGCUUAUUGAUUUUUGUGGUGGAAGUAAAAUGGCAUCAUUAUUUCAUGUGUCUUGUGAAAAUAAAUUCAUGGGACUUUAAAGAAGCAAAUGUCAGUGUUUUGCUUCUUUUGUAUUUGCAGUGAAAAACAUCAUAAAAGUUCAAAAGCUGUCAAACAUGUGCUGCUUCUAUAACACCUGUGCUAGGAAAAAGGUCUUCAUCUAAAAUGAUCUGAACUUUUGUGUAAUUUCUCCCCUCUCAAUAAAUAAAUGAAUUACUCAACAGUGUGAGUAUGAGGUUGACUUGAGAUGUACAAAUGAAUAAUCUUCCUUCAUAAAUUUCAUGCUCCAUUGAUACCUCAUAGCAGAAUAAAGUCUGAGGAACAUCUUCAAAAUUUCAGAUUGAUAAUAUGAUGAUAGUAAUCAUUAACACUUACUUGGCACUAACUACCAGGCAUUGUGCCAAAUACUUUAUAUGCUCUCUCUCUUUUACUAAUUCUAACUUCCCUUUGAGGUAGAUCCUAGUAUCCCCAUUUUAUGGAUGGGGUCACACGGAGGUUAAGUAAACUACUUAUAGUCCUAAAAAUAGGAAGUGGUUGGUUUGGCCUGGGACUGAAACACAAGCCUCAACUGGAGUCUACACAUAUUGGGAAGAGAAACCUGUGAGAAUUCUGUUGGGUUAGAAGGCCUAUACAAAGAAAGAAGUGAAAACUUGAAGAAGUGAUUAGAGUUGGAAGUUUAAUACCAUUUUAAUGAAGGGAAAAGUUACUGGACAACAAAAGAAGAGUUUUAGGGACCAUAAAUUAUGUGGCUUUUUAGGUUUCCUGGCUCCUUUGGGGCUUAUUGUUUGGAAGAGUCAGUGCAAGUUUGUCAAUAGUAGCCCUGAGUCUACCUAAACUAUUUCGUGGCCAGAAACUGACAGUGAAACAUUUCAACAGAAACCAAGCCCUCCAAAGUGAACUUUCUAAAUGGUGUGCUGAAUCUGAGAAUUUCAACCUUAUUUUUCUGUUGGGUAAAAAUCAUUCUCUUUUAUUGCCCUGUACUCACUUUUAUUUUAUUUU